CGCGGCCUAUCAGCUUGUUGGUGGGGUAAUGGCCUACCAAGGCGACGACGGGUAGCCGGCCUGAGAGGGCGACCGGCCACACUGGGACUGAGACACGGCCCAGACUCCUACGGGAGGCAGCAGUGGGGAAUAUUGCACAAUGGGCGGAAGCCUGAUGCAGCGACGCCGCGUGAGGGAUGACGGCCUUCGGGUUGUAAACCUCUUUCAGCAGGGACGAAGCGCAAGUGACGGUACCUGCAGAAGAAGCGCCGGCCAACUACGUGCCAGCAGCCGCGGUAAGACGUAGGGCGCGAGCGUUGUCCGGAUUUAUUGGGCGUAAAGAGCUCGUAGGCGGCUUGUCGCGUCGACCGUGAAAACUUGGGGCUCAACCCCAAGCCUGCGGUCGAUACGGGCAGGCUAGAGUUCGGUAGGGGAGACUGGAAUUCCUGGUGUAGCGGUGAAAUGCGCAGAUAUCAGGAGGAACACCGAUGGCGAAGGCAGGUCUCUGGGCCGAUACUGACGCUGAGGAGCGAAAGCGUGGGGAGCGAACAGGAUUAGAUACCCUGGUAGUCCACGCUGUAAACGUUGGGCGCUAGGUGUGGGGGGCCUCUCCGGUUUCCUGUGCCGCAGCUAACGCAUUAAGCGCCCCGCCUGGGGAGUACGG
rnacentral:rRNA from 1 species